UAACUGCGAGUGAAGCGGGAAGAGCUCAAAUUUAAAAUCUGGCGUGCCUUUGGUCGUCCGAGUUGUAGUCUGGAGAAGCGUUUUCCGUGCUGGACCGUGUACAAGUCCCUUGGAACAGGGCGUCGUAGAGGGUGAGAAUCCCGUCUUUGACACGGACUACCAGUGCUCUGUGAUGCGCUCUCGAAGAGUCGAGUUGUUUGGGAAUGCAGCUCAAAAUGGGUGGUAAAUUCCAUCUAAAGCUAAAUACAGGCGAGAGACCGAUAGCGAACAAGUACCGUGAGGGAAAGAUGAAAAGCACUUUGGAAAGAGAGUUAAACAGUACGUGAAAUUGCUGAAAGGGAAACGCUUGAAGUCAGUCGCGUCUGCCGGGACUCAGCCUCGCUUCUUGCUUGGUGCACUUUCCGGUUGACGGGCCAGCAUCGAUUUUGACUGUCGGAGAAGGGUGGAGGGAAUGUGGCACCUUCGGGUGUGUUUAUAGCCCUCCUCCGUAUGCGACGGCUGGGAUCGAGGACUGCGGCACGCCUUCAUGGCCGGGGGUUCGCCCCACGUUUAACGUGCUUAGGAUGCUGGCUUAAUGGCUUUAAGCGACCCGUCUUGAAACACGGACCAAGGAGUCUAACAUGCCUGCGAGUGUUUGGGUGGAAAACCCGAGCGCGUAAUGAAAGUGAUAGUUGAGACCUCUGUCAGGGAGGGCAUCGACGCCUGGACUUGAUCUACGGAGACGGUUCCGCGGUGGAGCAUGUAUGUUGGGACCCGAAAGAUGGUGAACUAUGCCUGAAUAGGGUGAAGCCAGAGGAAACUCUGGUGGAGGCUCGUAGCGAUUCUGACGUGCAAAUCGAUCGUCAAAUUUGGG
rnacentral:rRNA from 1 species